AGAACAGGCGAUAGUGAUAACAUGCUGAAGGCUGGUGUCUUCUCUUCUCCCGGAGGGACUCGCACCCACAAAAUGAUGGGGAGGAGGCGGCAGCAAGGCCAGUCACCACUCCAGUUAUGUACAUCAUGUCUACUACUCCCUUAAUGGGAAAUGUGCACCACUGGGAAUCUGAAGACCACAUCUCAACCUUAACAAGGUAUGAACUUGAAACUCACAGGAUUGGAAGAGUCUACUGGAUACCAUGCAGCCCGGGACACAUGUCACCCAGACCUCUGGACUGAAAUGAACUGAAACUACACAGAGGACCGAAUGGGCCUGGCCCAAGUCCUCAGUUUCUGACUGCACUGCACAGCUCUGCAAUUAUUCAUUACAGGCUGUUUUAGAAGUUUGUCCUCACGUCCCUAGGCUCUUUUGUGAAAAAUGCAUUAUUCAUGGUAUGUUAUACACAGAAUGGUACUGAUUUGGGAGUCAGGAAACCUGGGUGUUAGUUCCAACUUCCGUUGUUAGAUGUUGGGG
rnacentral:lncRNA from 1 species